UCCUCGGACGUCGUUCUUUAUUUUGAAGAAGACGUUUUUAUAGUAGAAAGCAAAAGCAGUGUGUCGUUUAACGCUGGCGCAUCAGGCACAUUCAAUCAGAAAGUCCUCUGUGUCUUUUUAGCCGUUGUUUAUUCCCCCACUCGUUUUGUGAGAAGUCCCGCCUCCGUGCACUGUGAUUGGCUACUAUGAUCUCGCGUCCUGGGCUAGGAUUGGCUGGGACUUGCCAUGUAAGAGAGUAGCGGUAGCUCCGUCCAGUCCAGUGGGCCGCGUUUUCCAGCGAUGGCCAAUCAGGGAGCCUCGCAGUAGUUGCCGGAUGUUAGCAGCAAAUGCUAGCAGCGCAGCCGAGUUUCAGCAGAAAAGACUGGUUGUGAUGCUCUUUUAACGGUUCAGUUGACUUUGGAUUAAUGGCAAGAACCACGGGGGGAUUCAGCUCAGCCUAAAGACCCCCCACAGUAAGACAGCACCCCCACCCUGCACCCUGAGUCUCAACUCCCUGGGUUUUACAAGUCUUUACCUGUUCCUUAUUUUUAAUAAACACGUGAUUAAGCUUC